UGUAGCUUAGUUUAAAUAGAACAGUUGAUUUGCAAUCGACAAGUGAUGAUAAAUCAGUGGCAG
rnacentral:tRNA from 1 species